GUCAGGUGUUGUUUUGCAUCAACAUUUGGGCCGAGGUUGUGGGCUGCGAUCGGCCGCUCCACCUGACAGGGCCACACACACACACACACACACACACACCUCGCUCACACAUCCAUACGCGCACUGACACAACGUCGAGCUCCCCCAGGUCUCAGCGGUCGCGACAGCGAUGCGCUCGGCGAAAGUACCGCUGCCGUUUGCGGUGACCACGAAGGGCGUGCACUAUGUCGUUUCCACCGUGAACAGCUGUGCCAGCUAUGAGGCAUACCGUCACCAUUACGAGCAUCUGGCGCAGGCCUCCUCUUCCCCUUUUGCAUCCGCGCCUGUCUUCCGCCUUACCUCGCUACUGCCUGCCGACUGGUCCGCUCUGCUGCGGAUGAGCCGCCGCCUCACCCAUCCAGGCGCAAGCUUUAACUUCUCCUCCCCUGGGGAUACAGCGGAGCUCCGCUCAACGACGGCAGGCACGCACGCCAGCGCUGAUGAGCCCACAACCAACAACAACCACGCGUACUUGCACAUUGUGGAGCGGGUACCCGGCGACUUCACCCCGAACAACAUGAUCUACCACCAGCUGCAGCGUUACCACCUCGCUCCUGCACCAUCGACCACGGCCGCGGAAGCGGGCGAAGGCGGAGCGGUGCCUGAUCCCUUCACGGCCCUUGUCACGGCUCUGCAACAGCAGCCUGCGCAGUCGCCAGAGGAGGCGUCGGCGGAGCUGUUGACCGCUGAAGACACAGCACUCGCUGCCGCCACGGCAGCAGAGAAGUUGCAGCGGGACCCGUUGGCAUCCAAGCCGGAUGCACAGGCGCAUGCUGCUGAGAACCUCCGUCAGAUGCAUGCCUACGCGGCCGCCUCAGUCGCAAACACCACCUCUUCCACCAUUACUCCCGAAAUCGAAGACGGGUAUCGCUUCACUUUCUACCCCUUCCCCAUUUCGGCUGCCGUGAGCAUCCCAUAUUGUUCCCAGCACUUCUGCGUGCUCGUGAACCUGAAGCCCAUCGCGCCGAACCAUCUCAUGGUGGUGCCCAUUCGCUGCGUUAGCACGAUACACGGACUCACAGAGGAGGAGGUAGACGACUGGGGUCGCGUGAUGUGGUGCACUAUUCAGGUCCUCGAGCAUCUGCGUCGUCAGCGCUACAGUGAAGGCGGUGCUGCUUCCUCCGCCACCCCCGCUGUACCUCCUGCCGGGAACUACAGCAUUGCUGUGCAGCAAGGCUCGCUGGCGGGGCAGACGGUAGACCAUCUGCACGUGCAUGUCAUCCCCUUCGACCCCCAAGGGAAGCUGGCCGGGGAGCCGGAGGCGGACGAGGCGGAGCAGCGGCGACGUCCGCCUCGGACACCGACUGUCAUGCAAGCAGAGACGGAUGCACUACGCCCCCUGUUUGCCCAGUACACCGCAGCCGCCGAGUCCUCGUCGGCGGCCGGCUUGUGACGCAUCUGAGGACCGUCUGUGCGGCUUCCCUGUGCGCGUCGCUUUUUCUGCUCACUUCGCAAGAGGUCGAGUGCUGACACACAGGCAGAUGAGCAAGAAGACCCCCCCCCCCCCCCCAAAAAAAAAAAAGACAGCGACGACACUCCAUCCGAAGGCACUCGCUUUGCGCGAUCGCACGUCCAGGGAGGUCCCCCCUCUUCUCACACGCGUGUGUGCGUGUUUAGAUGGAGCACUUGGCCAGCAGCGCUGACCAUUGCUGCCUUUCGCUCCUCUUUCCCGCUUUCCAUUUCACUCCCUCCCCCUCCUUCUCUACCAUGCGCGGCGCACUUCUUCUCCCUCUCGCUUUAUGGCUCUCCUUGGCUUGCUCUAAUACAUCACCUCGUCCGCCCCCUCUUUUUUCUUCCCUCUCGCUCUCGCUGCACGCGUGCGUGCGUGAGCCCUGCUCGCCUCAUUGCUUUCUUAUUGUGGCGCACUGAGCAAG
rnacentral:misc_RNA from 1 species